GCUACAGGCUUAACACAUGCAAGUCGAGGGGCAGCAUGGUCUUAGCUUGCUAAGGCCGAUGGCGACCGGCGCACGGGUGAGUAACACGUAUCCAACCUGCCGUCUACUCUUGGACAGCCUUCUGAAAGGAAGAUUAAUACAAGAUGGCAUCAUGAGUCCGCAUGUUCACAUGAUUAAAGGUAUUCCGGUAGACGAUGGGGAUGCGUUCCAUUAGAUAGUAGGCGGGGUAACGGCCCACCUAGUCUUCGAUGGAUAGGGGUUCUGAGAGGAAGGUCCCCCACAUUGGAACUGAGACACGGUCCAAACUCCUACGGGAGGCAGCAGUGAGGAAUAUUGGUCAAUGGGCGAGAGCCUGAACCAGCCAAGUAGCGUGAAGGAUGACUGCCCUAUGGGUUGUAAACUUCUUUUAUAAAGGAAUAAAGUCGGGUAUGCAUACCCGUUUGCAUGUACUUUAUGAAUAAGGAUCGGCUAACUCCGUGCCAGCAGCCGCGGUAAUACGGAGGAUCCGAGCGUUAUCCGGAUUUAUUGGGUUUAAAGGGAGCGUAGAUGGAUGUUUAAGUCAGUUGUGAAAGUUUGCGGCUCAACCGUAAAAUUGCAGUUGAUACUGGAUAUCUUGAGUGCAGUUGAGGCAGGCGGAAUUCGUGGUGUAGCGGUGAAAUGCUUAGAUAUCACGAAGAACUCCGAUUGCGAAGGCAGCCUGCUAAGCUGCAACUGACAUUGAGGCUCGAAAGUGUGGGUAUCAAACAGGAUUAGAUACCCUGGUAGUCCACACGGUAAACGAUGAAUACUCGCUGUUUGCGAUAUACGGCAAGCGGCCAAGCGAAAGCGUUAAGUAUUCCACCUGGGGAGUACGCCGGCAACGGUGAAACUCAAAGGAAUUGACGGGGGCCCGCACAAGCGGAGGAACAUGUGGUUUAAUUCGAUGAUACGCGAGGAACCUUACCCGGGCUUAAAUUGCAGAUGAAUUACGGUGAAAGCCGUAAGCCGCAAGGCAUCUGUGAAGGUGCUGCAUGGUUGUCGUCAGCUCGUGCCGUGAGGUGUCGGCUUAAGUGCCAUAACGAGCGCAACCCUUGUUGUCAGUUACUAACAGGUUCCGCUGAGGACUCUGACAAGACUGCCAUCGUAAGAUGUGAGGAAGGUGGGGAUGACGUCAAAUCAGCACGGCCCUUACGUCCGGGGCUACACACGUGUUACAAUGGGGGGUACAGAGGGCCGCUACCACGCGAGUGGAUGCCAAUCCCAAAAACCUCUCUCAGUUCGGACUGGAGUCUGCAACCCGACUCCACGAAGCUGGAUUCGCUAGUAAUCGCGCAUCAGCCACGGCGCGGUGAAUACGUUCCCGGGCCUUGUACACACCGCCCGUCAAGCCAUGGGAGCCGGGGGUACCUGAAGUGCGUAACCGCGAGGAGCGCCCUAGGGUAAAACUGGUGACUGGGGCUAAGUCAUAACAA
rnacentral:rRNA from 1 species